rnacentral:rRNA from 1 species
GGGUUGUGAGGUUAAGCGACUAAGCGUACACGGUGGAUGCCCUGGCAGUCAGAGGCGAUGAAGGACGUGCUAAUCUGCGAAAAGCGUCGGUAAGGUGAUAUGAACCGUUAUAACCGGCGAUGUCCGAAUGGGGAAACCCAGUGCAAUUCGUUGCACUAUCGUUAACUGAAUACAUAGGUUAACGAGGCGAACCGGGGGAACUGAAACAUCUAAGUACCCCGAGGAAAAGAAAUCAACCGAGAUUCCCCCAGUAGCGGCGAGCGAACGGGGAGCAGCCCAGAGUCUGAAUCAGCUUGUGUGUUAGUGGAACGGUCUGGAAAGUCCGACGGUACAGGGUGAUAGUCCCGUACACCAAAAUGCACAGGUUGUGAACUCGAAGAGUAGGGCGGGACACGUGGUAUCCUGUCUGAAUAUGGGGGGACCAUCCUCCAAGGCUAAAUACUCCUGACUGACCGAUAGUGAACCAGUACCGUGAGGGAAAGGCGAAAAGAACCCCGGCGAGGGGAGUGAAAAAGAACCUGAAACCGUGUACGUACAAGCAGUGGGAGCACCUUCGGGUGUGACUGCGUACCUUUUGUAUAAUGGGUCAGCGACUUAUAUUCUGUAGCAAGGUUAACCGUAUAGGGGAGCCGCAGGGAAACCGAGUCUUAACUGGGCGUUAAGUUGCAGGGUAUAGACCCGAAACCCGGUGAUCUAGCCAUGGGCAGGUUGAAGGUUGGGUAACACUAACUGGAGGACCGAACCGACUAAUGUUGAAAAAUUAGCGGAUGACUUGUGGCUGGGGGUGAAAGGCCAAUCAAACCGGGAGAUAGCUGGUUCUCCCCGAAAGCUAUUUAGGUAGCGCCUCGUGAACUCAUCUUCGGGGGUAGAGCACUGUUUCGGCUAGGGGGUCAUCCCGACUUACCAACCCGAUGCAAACUACGAAUACCGAAGAAUGUUAUCACGGGAGACACACGGCGGGUGCUAACGUCCGUCGUGAAGAGGGAAACAACCCAGACCGCCAGCUAAGGUCCCAAAGUCAUGGUUAAGUGGGAAACGAUGUGGGAAGGCACAGACAGCCAGGAUGUUGGCUUAGAAGCAGCCAUCAUUUAAAGAAAGCGUAAUAGCUCACUGGUCGAGUCGGCCUGCGCGGAAGAUGUAACGGGGCUAAACCAUGCACCGAAGCUGCGGCAGCGACACUAUGUGUUGUUGGGUAGGGGAGCGUUCUGUAAGCCUGCGAAGGUGUGCUGUGAGGCAUGCUGGAGGUAUCAGAAGUGCGAAUGCUGACAUAAGUAACGAUAAAGCGGGUGAAAAGCCCGCUCGCCGGAAGACCAAGGGUUCCUGUCCAACGUUAAUCGGGGCAGGGUGAGUCGACCCCUAAGGCGAGGCCGAAAGGCGUAGUCGAUGGGAAACAGGUUAAUAUUCCUGUACUUGGUGUUACUGCGAAGGGGGGACGGAGAAGGCUAUGUUAGCCGGGCGACGGUUGUCCCGGUUUAAGCAUGUAGGCUGAUUGUCCAGGCAAAUCCGGAUAAUCAAGGCUGAGGUGUGAUGACGAGGCACUACGGUGCUGAAGUAACAAAUGCCCUGCUUCCAGGAAAAGCCUCUAAGCAUCAGGUAACAUCAAAUCGUACCCCAAACCGACACAGGUGGUCAGGUAGAGAAUACCAAGGCGCUUGAGAGAACUCGGGUGAAGGAACUAGGCAAAAUGGUGCCGUAACUUCGGGAGAAGGCACGCUGGUGUGUAGGUGAAGCCCCUGCGGGUGGAGCUGAGACCAGUCGAAGAUACCAGCUGGCUGCAACUGUUUAUUAAAAACACAGCACUGUGCAAACACGAAAGUGGACGUAUACGGUGUGACGCCUGCCCGGUGCCGGAAGGUUAAUUGAUGGGGUUAUCCGUAAGGAGAAGCUCUUGAUCGAAGCCCCGGUAAACGGCGGCCGUAACUAUAACGGUCCUAAGGUAGCGAAAUUCCUUGUCGGGUAAGUUCCGACCUGCACGAAUGGCGUAAUGAUGGCCAGGCUGUCUCCACCCGAGACUCAGUGAAAUUGAACUCGCUGUGAAGAUGCAGUGUACCCGCGGCAAGACGGAAAGACCCCG